UUCCUAUGGCCAUGGUAACAAAGUGUCACAAGCCAUGUACAUCUAUUACCCGUUUGUUUGUAAGGAUCCCUAUCUGGAACUGACAGGAAAGUAGAGGUCAUAGGUCUCAGAGGGGAUAUAAUUAUUACUGUUCUGUUGAAUAGAUGGAAUCCUCUUGUUAAAUUGCCUUUGAAACAUUUUGUUUAUACCUAUGUCAGCCUCAGUCAAUCAGGAUGGAAAACUUCCUCUUUGUAAUGGGUGUUGUACCUGAGACUCAUAAAAUAUCAAACUUCUGAGAUGACUUAACCAUUGCUCAAGCCUAAUUGCUCAAUACUCUGCCACAGAUGAGGGAAAUUAAUCAAACACCUAUAUCACCCCUUCCAAGGCUUGUGCAAAGAGAAUUAAAGAAAUGUAGGUGCUGGAGGAAAGGGUUCAGUGUUGUAUAGACUUUCCUUCUAAUUGAAGUAUUCACUUCUAGAGAAAGGACAGAGAGGUUCCUAAGGCUCAGGAAGUAAGCAAAACUCACAAAGUUUAGAAAGCAGAAACUUACAAGAUUCAUAUACUCACUCUCAAAGAUUAUAUUAGAGAUACACAGCUGCUGGGAAGAGGAAACUCUCCAACUGGAAAGCCUCCUACACGCUAUGCAAGAAACUCCAGGGAUGCAGAUGCUGUGAGUCAUGACUCAAGAUAAAGUACACAUUUCAGUGCUGUAGCUCUCUUUGAGUCAUCUACUGCUGUUAAGCAACUGGUCAUGUAUAAUUCUGCAAGUAGUUACAACAAGCUCACAGCUUCAUUAAGCUAGACUACGUAAGAACUGUUCCUGAAAUCUGUUAUCAGUGACCUCUGUAAAGUAAACAGAUUUGUGUGCAUCUCCCAGGAAGUCUUCUAACAGCUUCCUGGGAAGUGAUACGUCCAUCACUUUGUGAAGCUUUACAGCCUAAGCCAGCCUGUUACAAAGGUCUUCAGAGGAGAGCUACUUGCUACCAACUAUCUAAACCUAAGGAAAGGCAAUGCGUUGUGUCAUGGAUUUCCCCUUCGUCUCUAUUCAAGUUACGAAGAGAAUCCCCAUUCCAAUAUCACAUGAAAAAGGAUGACCAAACUGGGAUUCGCCCAAAGAUACUCCAUCCUGAGACAUCUCAACCUUGGCUGCAUGCCCUGUCACACAUCGCCGGGAGACUGGAAUCACCACUGAGGCAGAGAGGCACACCACCCCUUACUACGUGCAGAAAAGAACCCCUGCUGGGAUUGUCCCCUGGACUCUGCCUUCAAACCGAUCAUAGAUGUAUGUCUCAUCAUACACUGUAAGGGCCAAAUAAUUCUGUCCCAACUCUUCUAGGCUUCUGUCUGUCCCUGUUCAGGCACCAAGUCUGUUAUGUAAUUUUUCUUGGGGAGAUAUAACCCACAUUAGGCACUGAUGAAAAA
rnacentral:sRNA from 1 species